CACUCACCGUCAGCCGGGCUGCCACCACAAAAGCCUGUAGCUGUUUAAAAUGAAUAACAGGCUGGAGGAGAAUUCGAGCACUUUAUUAUUCAUUAAGGAAAUUCCAGUCUGCUAAAUGAUGAAUCAGCAACACUGUAUAAAAUGUAAUAUUGUUAACGUAUCAAUCAUGCGUUUUAUAGCCAAUCAUGGUCCGCGUUGGCGCGCAUUCAUUUUUCUAGCUCCACCCGAUUAAAAUAGAGGCUAUGCCUUUAUUUACCCAUUGCCAUGGUGAAUCGUCGUUGACCUUUUUCAUCAAGUUUAUCAUUUCAAGCCUGAAGAUUUAAUUUCAUGUGUAAUGAAUGUAGAAUAAAUUUCACCUUUUGAAAAAAAUUUCCACUAUAUUAUAAUUUUAUGAGAUGCACCUGUAGAUUACUUACGAUUUUAGGUGGCAAGUUUUGAACCUGCAGCAGUUCACAACUCCAUCCUUGAUUAGGAAAGUGCCCUUCUUUAUUUUUGUAACACAGCAGAUGGAAAUGAGCACAGACUCACAUUUCUUUUAGCCAAAUUUUCAAAUAUGUGCUUAAAAUUAUGAAAGUGGAUGGAGACCCAGCUGUGGUAGGGCUGCGUCUUUCCAUGGGACAGGAAGUCUCAAUGUCAUGAAGAUUACUGAAAAGAUAAUCAGAUAUGCUCUUCGAAAGUUGUACCACACCAGGUUUCAAGGUGCAUCAUGUAGGAACACACCUGCCUCCAGUGGUCUGAUCGUCUGUGCUGCUGCAUCCUAACCAAGAAUUUCCUGAAGGAAGUAAUUUCUCUAGAAAUUAAAAUAUACAAGAAUGCAUGUGUACUGUAGCCAAAUCCUUAAAACGUCUAAUUUAUUGGUAGUGUGUGAGUGCCACCUAGUGGAGGUCUUGCAUUAUGUUUGGAUUGUGCUGAAUUAGUUCUAAUUUGUUAAUAAAAGUAGGGGGAAACACAGACGUUAUUUACUUAAAAUGUAGCUACAACACAGCGUGAACCUGCAACCUGCCUCAUAGAGCAAACUUCUCACUAUGACUGUAUAAGCUACAAUUUAUCUGUCUACCUUCAAUAUUUCCAAACAAUGGCAUUGUCUAACAAAUUUGUAAAGGGAAUAGUGGCAAGGCAAGUUUAUUUAUAAAGCACAAUGCGUACAAAGUGGAAAUUCAAAGACUUUCAUGAAAUUCAUGCCGCUUGUUCCUGUCAACAUUAGGCAUAAAGCAGUGGUGUUUUUUUUAAGUGGACAGGAAGAAGAGGAUAAAGUCAUGAGAAGACUGAGGACAGGAACGGAAGGAAAAGUGCCCACACAGGAAGGAGGAAACCCACACAGACACAGGGAGAACAUGCAUUCUCCACACAGAAAGGCCUGGGAUGACGGGUUCGAAAAUGAGAUCUUCUUGCUGUGAGUCCACAGUGCUUUCUGCAGUCCUUCCAUAAGAUCUUCCUUCUGGACCUUUGGAAAGUUCAAUGGCACUUCUGUAGGUCCUCUUCAUCGAAAGAAAGACCAGUGCGAUGCCUACUGUUCAUUCAAGCCUGGAAACAUCGAAGCAGCUUCAUGGGACACAAAGGCUGCGAAGCAGAAGGACAAAGAAGAUGCAGAUAAGAAGACCUUGUUGGCGCUCACUCCAAUUCCAGGCCAUACUGUGUGAGGUACGUAUCUUCAAGGACUUCAGCCAGAUGGGGAACUGGGAAAAAGCUGGGGAUCCAACAUUGCAUGAC